UACGAAGGGGGCUAGCGUUGCUCGGAAUCACUGGGCGUAAAGGGUGCGUAGGCGGGUCUUUAAGUCAGGGGUGAAAUCCUGGAGCUCAACUCCAGAACUGCCUUUGAUACUGAAGAUCUUGAGUUCGGGAGAGGUGAGUGGAACUGCGAGUGUAGAGGUGAAAUUCGUAGAUAUCGGGAGGAACACCAGUGGCGAAGGCAGCUCGCUGGGACGUUACUGACACUGAGGCGCGAAAGCGUGGGGAGCGAACAGG
rnacentral:rRNA from 1 species